rnacentral:lncRNA from 1 species
CUUUUCUCUUCCAGCCGGGGAUCUUGCAGCACAAUCCCAGAGGCCUGGCUUUGCACGCACGGAUCCCGGGCGGGGUGGGGGAGAGCUGGGGCCAUCAGGGGGCCCAGGCUCUGGUCCCUUCUCCUGACCCCCAGGCCAGGGCUGGCCCUGGGCAGAGGCAGAGUGAGGGGGGGAUUGAUAGAAAGAGCCUGACCCAGCCCCAUGCCUGGUGCCUCUGUUCCUUUGGGCUAAGGCAUUUCCCCCCAAUCUCGAGUAGCAUUGCAAAUAUUUCCGAUCUGGGCAGUCGUUAACACAAUGUUAUGGGUUCUCUGUUCAGCUGGGAGAUCGCUCAGGAGAGGGACAGAAGAGGGUAAGUUUUGAUGGGAGAAGAGUCCCUACUGGGAAAGAGAGUGGCAGGACAGAAAGCAAGCCCCUAGGCCUCCCCACUUGCCCUGGCUUCCCAGGGGUCUGGACAGGGCCCGGGGAGCAGAGCAGGGGUGGGACUGACUCGGGUGGCGCUAGACAGAGGGAUGGUGUUCGGGAGAGAAGACGAGUCUCUGAAACGGGGUGCAUGUGUGCGUGUACAUGUGUGUGUUGGGGUGGAGGGCCGUUCCCUGAGCUGUGGGUGUGACUGGAGCUGCUUUUCAUAGCUGCCCAACACUUUAACCUGGGGGAGGGUGGGAGCUGGUCACCUCAGGGACCCCGCGGGGCAUCAGUAGGCAGAGCUCAAGCUAACCCUGGACAGGGAGCAGGGAAGCUUUCCGAGAGAAGGGAGAGGUUGGGCCCAAAAUUCGGAGGAGGCACAAGGGUUCUCUUGGGACAUGUGAGUGGAGGACGAGGGGGGAGGAAGAAGAUACCAGAGACGAGCAGCAGGUGUUUGGGGGUGGCUCAUGUCGGGGGAAGGUAUUCUCGGCCCCCAGGGACACUGAGGGAGGUUGCACCUGCCACUCAGAGGAAGCUGGAGGUCUGGAGUUGCUCAACUCCUUCUCCUGGUUUGCCUUCUCCACUGGCAAAGCCACCGGCUCUGUGUCUCUGGAUACAUCCUGUUCAAAUUUUGGGGAAUGUUAACAAUCCUGUGACCCCAUGUGGCCUCACUAUUUCAUGUUAUCAUCACAACCCCACCCAGAGAUGAGGACAGGGGCCAGAAAGUCUCAUCCUUUUCCUUAUAUAGCAGAUAAAGAAAUGGAGGCUCAGAGACAUUGUGUAGCUUGCCUAAGGUCACACAGCGAGCCAGAGGCAGAACUGGGGUUUGAACCACCCAUGCCAGAGCUUGUGGCUGCUCCUCACCUCCUGCGUGGGUCUCCUCAUUGCCUCCCCAGGAUUCCCGGUGGCUCUGUUUCUCUGGGGUCAGGGCUAUUCCAUCAGUCAAAUCUGCACACGGAGAUGUGUACCAUGCCAGACAGCGGGCAAUGUGGAGACGAACCCCAAGGCUCCUAUCCUCAAGAGCCCACGGUCAGUGGGGGCGGACACGGGAACAGACACAGAUGUCAGGGCAUGAUGGGUACGAGGAGAGAGGCGAGCACACAGAGGGUCCCUGGGGCCCAGGCUCGGGGGAGGCUGGGGGAGGAUGGUCUGGGAUGCUUCCUACAGGAGGAGAGGGCUCAGCUGAGUUAAAGGGCAGAGGGGAGCGGGGUGAGAUGACGGAAGCAGAGGGAACGGCAGCGCUGAGGCAUGAGGGAGAGAGUACGUGGGCGUCCCGGGUCUGAGCAGGGCCGUGUUAUAAAGGGGACGUGCACUGGCGGUGGUGAACCUGGAAGCUGGAGAGAGAGGGCGGCUUCUCCCCGGGGAGGAAGUGCCUUCUGAGCCUGCAGGGCCUGGAUUUGUCCUGAGACCAGGCAGCCUGCAGGGGCUCCUGAGCAAGAGGGAGCCAGGGCUUCCCCUUCUCACAGGUCCAGAUGGGCAGCCUGCGCCAUGGCUGGGAAGGAGGCCCCGUGCCAUGGCAGGGAGGGAGGCCGGGCGCAUGCUGGUGGCCCAGGCCCCAGCUGGAACUGGGGCCGCCCCGCGGUGGGCACCCAGGAUGCCUGGAACUGGGUCUGCCUCACCUGGGCAAGGGCAGCACACGCCGCUGGGUUCAGCUAUACCAGUGCAGCCUGGGCGGGCUGGACGUCUGGCGGCUCUGGGCGCCCCAGAGAGAUAGACUUCGUGUCCUUUCUGUUGAUGGAGCCAGCUGGGCCGAGUCCUGCCUCAAUUUUGAGAAGAGAAGUUUGGGCACCUCUGCCAGGCACAAGUGGGCCCUGACCUCUGCUGCUCGUCUACAACUAUGUUGCUGGGAAAUAGCCCCCAUCUUACAUUUUCGACGUGGCAUUGGCAGCCAAACCCAGAGCACAGCUCCACAACCGAGAAGCAUCAGCCAGCUUUGCUGAGACACUGUGCCACUUUGGACUGAAAAAGGAGAUCAAGCGCUGAGUAAGACAGAGAAGGUCCCUGCCCUCUGGGUCCUUGUGAGCAAGGGGUGGGGGGUGGAUAUAAACCAGGAGCUAAAUAACUGAUUAACCAACUGGCUAAGUCACGAACAUUUUUAGUCAAUUAUAUUUGCUACAACGUAUGACAGCCUGUGUGCGCUGUGGGGAGGGAGGCCUGAGGAGGGUGGAGGCGUUAGGAAGGGCCUCGCUGCAAGCAGAGCAGGGAGGACGAGAGGCAGCCGGCCACGCAGCCUCUGCAGGAGGAGUCCUCGGGGAAGCAGCUGGCACCAGGCCCCGGGGGACCAGACACGUUCAAGGCCUGGGUGUCUUGGAAGUUCCCAGGGGAGCGGGGGAGCUGAUGCUGAAGAGUGAGUGGGGAGCUGGCCUCAGAAGCCUGUGGACUGUGGUCUGGGGUCUGCAGAGAUGGUUGAAUGGUUCUGAGUUCCAGCACGUUAGACCGGAUCACCUGGACGCUUUCCUGCCUAAGGUCACAAUUAGUCCCAGAGACCUUCCCGGAAGUGAGCCUGCAUUCAGGGACAAAAGGAUGCACCGUGGCAGAGGAGGCCCGCAGGGGCUGAGAGCCCGCUGACAGCCAGCACGCCGGGGCACCGACUUUCAUCAUUACCGUGGUUGUGGUCUCUGACGUCCAGGGCGGGGCUCUCCUGUUCCUCCCUCCUGCUCCCCACCUCUCUCUCUGUGCAGUGUGGGGGGUUUUGUCCUGGAUGCCCUGCCGCCCACCUCGCUCCUGAGUGCUCUCCUCCUCGAGGCCCUCCUGAUGUGGGAAGGCAAUGGACGCUGGCCCUGGGGCGACACCUCCAUGGGAAGCAUGACCCUCGAGGCUUGGCCCAGGACUGUCUAGUCCCCAUGUUCCCUCUGUCCCAUGCCGCGACACCUGCCAGGCUCAUCUCUGCCUGUUCAGGCCCUAGUCAUCAUGGGCGACCAGCUCCCAGACCUCGGGCACCUGGCCUGGCUCUCCUUCCCCAGAGACCCCUGGCCGGGGCUCCCCAGGAAUGGCCUCACCCGUCUGCUUCUGCUGCUGGUUCCAGCCUUCCCUCCCUGGCCCAAGGACCAGCAAAGAUGAGUCACAGGAGGCUUAGCUUGCCACCUCUUCAAACAAGUGUUAACAGAGAAAUGGAAAGGGGCGUGGAGAUGAGCGUGGGGCCUAGCUGGAACCUCAGCAUGCGGGGCUGUGCAGCAGGUGCCUUUGCCGGCCCUCAGAGCUCCCGGGCGCAGAGCAGGGCAGCUGAGCCCAUGCCGGAGGUGUGGUGGCUCCUUAGCCUGGCGUCAGGCUUUGUCACGAACGGGAUCACACAGUAAGGGAUAGGGCUGAAGACCACCAGUGUGGUCAGUGAGCUGUGUGGUCUCCGGCAAGCCAUGGAACCACUCCAGGCCUCAGCUUUGUCACCCUCAGUCAGGAUGACAACAGCUCUCUCAUGGGAUAGCUAGAGGACAAAAGUGACAUAGGACUUGUGAAGCCUGCCUGCUGUGUGUCCUGCACCCCAUAGCACCCUGUCCCUUCUCUGUUCCCUCUUCCGGCCUCCCUCCCUCCCUCUGCUUUAAUGUGUGAUACCCCCCCACCCCCACACUCCCCCAUCUUAGAUUCCAGAAGAGAACCAUCACCAAAGCACGCAGGAAAGCCCCUGCAUGGGGGUUAGGCACCAGGACAGUCCUUGGCGGGUGGAGUAUGAUCCUGUGGGGAGCAGCUCAAAGAUCUUCCAGCUGCCCCCUCACCAUCCCAGGUGGGGACCCUGAGGUCUCUCCUCACAGCCCUGGGGCAGGGGAGCAGCUGUCACCAAGGAAAGGCAGCGCUCAGGCCCUGCGGCUCCUGGGCCCAGACUGCCUGACUUCCUGUGCUGAGCACCAGCCAGGGCAACUGGCCCAUCCCACAGGGCGGCCCCAGUCCUCCCGGGGCCCACUGCCAGGGGACAGCCAGCUCACCUGUGAACCCUGGGCCUCCAUCCCAGGAGAAGCCAGUGAGGCAGGGACCAGAGGGGGAUGCUGGGGUGUCCCUGGUGGGGUCUGUGGGUCAAUGUGUGUGUUUGUGUCUGUGGUGUGUAUGUAUGCAGGUGGGCUUUGUGGGGUAUGUCUGUGUGUGUAUUUGCAUGGAUGGUGUGUUUGUAUCCGUGAUAUGUAUCGUAUGUAUGUGUUUGGGUGUGUGUGUGUGCAUGGUCUGUGCAGUAUAUGUGUGUCUGUAGUGUGCGAGUGUGACUGUGUCUGUAUGUCUGUGGUGUGCGUGUGUAUGUGUCUGUGGUGUGUGUGUGUCUGUGGUGUACGUGUGUGUUUAUGUCUGCAGUGUGUGUGUGUCUAUGGUGUCUGUGUGUGGUUGUAUCUGUGGUGUAUGUGUUUAUGUCUGUGGGGUGUGUGUGUGUGAGUGUGUGCACAUGCGCAGCACUGGUAAGGCCAGGACCCCCCACCCACGGAGGACGUACACCUUUGGUGAAGUUGUGAUGUUGCGGAGUCGUUCCUUGUCUCCCCACUUUUCUGAGUGCCUGCUCCCUCUCCCAGGCCAGUCCCUUUACUCCUCUGUCCCCGCUGAGGUUUCUCCUUGCCCACCUUCCUGCUGCCUCUCAGGGCCCAGGACCAGGCCAGCCCUGCUUGCUCCCUCCACCUCUCAGUGUGGCUCUGGGCCCCCUCCUCGUCCUGGACUGCAGCAAGGCAUCGGUGACAUCUCAAUCUGGCCGACCCUCUGUCACAAUCUAGCAUGUCAAGGGAACAGUGUGGAGCCAGUGGCUUGGCCUCCUCCUGGUCUAGGCGGUAGCAUGUUUGCUGUCCCUCUGCAUGCCCCAUGUGGCCGGCUGGUGACCAGCAUCCGUUCCUGUCACCUUCUCGAGAGACUGGGCAGAGAGGGGCAGAGUUCAUGCCAGGACAUGUUGAGUAUGAGGCUCCAAUGGUCACCUGGAGGACAGAGGUCAGGGUCACUGGAGACAGAGGGUUGGGGACCAGGACAGGGCCUGGGCUGGAGUUAACAUGGGUCACUCUCAGAUGCUCAUGGAGGGUGACUAUGUGCCAGGUGCCGUGCCCAGUGCACCACUGCACACUGGUGGUGAUUAAGACCACAGGCGUGAGAAUGAAGUAGGUGGAGCGAGGUGUGGGUUGGGUCCCGCCACACCCACUCUGAAAGGCUGACAGAGAAAAGAAACAGACACACCCACCCACCUCCUCCCCACAGGCCUCAUGCACCCAAAGCCAUCAUCAAAGAGCCCAAUCACUCUCAACACCGCCCGACCCUCCCCGGUGGGCUCCAAGGCCCCCAUGAUGUGGCCCACACUUCCCCCAGCCCCCACCUGCGGCCACAGGGCCACCUUGCUGUUCCUUGACCUGGCAAAGCACAUCCCUCCUCAGGGCCUUUGCACGUGCCAUUCCCUCCCUCUGGAGCUGUCUUCCCCAGGCAGCCACGGCACCUGCUCCCUCCUUGCCUAGCAUCUCUGACUUGGGCUGUCUUCUGAGAGGGGCCCUUCUAGAGCACAUUGUUUAGAGUGUCACCCCUGUGUUGACCCAUUGCCCCCUCAUGCCGUUGCAUUCCCCUGUGUCACCUGGAGUUGCUGUCUAACUGUGUGUCCAUUCAUUUGCUGUCUGUCUCCACCGGAUGUCCUCUCUCUGAGGGCAGGCUCAUGGUCUCUGCUGCAUCAUCAGUGUUUGGUGCAUAGAAAAAGCUCAGUACAUAUUAUUGGAGUGACUGAAUGGAGAGAUGAGCGAAUGGGACGGUAGGACCUGUUGGAGCAUCUGUAUUGCCAAGGGCAAGACCAGGUUUCUCAAGAAAGAGAGUGCCAUACUGCAAAAUCCAUUUCAGAUGGAUCAGGGCUGUAAAAAGGAAAACCAAAGCUGUAAAACCAGUGGAUGGAAAGAAAGGAGAACAUUUUCCUGAACUCGGAGAGGGAGAGCCUUCCUAAGCAAGACACAAAAUCCAGAAGCUAUGAAAGAAAAGCCUGACAGAUUUGACUACACAAAAAUAAAAAGCGUACGCAUGGCAAAAUGCAUGAUAUACAAAGUUCAAAGACAUUUGACUGGGAGAAAAUAUUUAAAACAUGUACAAGAGACAACAGAUUACUAUCAUUACAUAUGAUACGAUUCCAUGAGCCAACAAGUAAGACACAUACAGCCCAGCAGGAAAAAACGGGCAAACGAGGGAAACGGGCAAUGCAUAGAAACAGAAAUACUCUUGGCCAGUGAGCGGCUGAAUGGAGCCUAACCUCGCUAGUCACCAGCGAGAACCCACUGUGGGUAGGACUAGAGGAGGGGAACUAAAGGCAAGGCGGUGGGGCUCCCAGUGCCCCACAUGUGGGACGGCUGUGGUCCCCACGGACAAUGGAAGGCCAACUGGGCGGACUUAGCAACACUAAAAUGCACACUCAUUUUGACCCAGAAACCCCACUUUUAGGAAGCUAUCCUUGCAAAAUGCCAACGAUGCCCCGUGCCUCACGGCUUGUACUUGCAGAGGAAGGAAGCAGAGCCCCCUGCUUGUCACCACAGGGAGGUGGCUCCACGACGGAGGACUAUGCAGCUAAUAACAAGACCCUGCUCUGCAUUGAGAAAUGCUCCCAACUUAUUAAGUGACAAUCAAAGUAAGACUCGGAACCACAGGAGUGGCCGGGUCCCAUGUGCGUUUGUUAAACUCCUGUAUGUGCAUUCACGCAGCUGGAUACAUACACCGGCGGGCAGAACGUUGCAUGAAAUAUGCAACUGUCAGCAGUGGGUGGCUCUGGGGAGUGGGGCGGAGCUUGAGGAGUGACUUUUCAUUUUUCUUGCUUCUUUAUCAUAGAGUUUUAGCAACUAAAAUAUAUGACUACUGUAACUUUUUAAUAGAGAAAAAAUAAUGGCAUUAGAGAAGGAUGUGUAUGUGGUGGGGUGUGUGGUGCUGUGCGUCAAGAUGAGGAGGCCUGAAGAGGGUGGACUGGCUGGAGCCCCCAGGAGACUGCAGGCACCUUUGAGGCAGGCUCGCUCGCCGUGGGAGCCAGGCAGUAGAGGACACGGGGUGCCCACGGGCCCUGCCCUCCUCCAGGCCUCCCCAAAGCACUGUGCGGCAGGUCCCCCAGCCCCACUUCUCCAUCUGCAGAGAGAUGAAAUCCGAUCUCUCAGGGUGGGAAUCAGGGCCCGAAUCAGGCACGGAAUCGGGGCCGACCCCACCAGGGAAGCAGCAACCCCACCCCCUGCACGAUCAGGGCCUGGGUACCCUAGCGACAAGACGUGGCAGAGCUCCAGCUGCAAAGUCACCCUUUCAGCCCAGCCUUCACGGGCGGG